rnacentral:rRNA from 1 species
GCAUAUCAAUAAGCGGAGGAAAAGAAACCAACAGGGAUUGCCUCAGUAACGGCGAGUGAAGCGGCAACAGCUCAAAUUUGAAAUCUGGCUCCUUCGGGGUCCGAGUUGUAAUUUGUAGAAGAUGCUUUGGGUGUGGCCCUGGUCUAAGUUCCUUGGAACAGGACGUCAUAGAGGGUGAGAAUCCCGUAUGUGACUGGGUGCCCACGCCCGUGUAAAGCUCUUUCGACGAGUCGAGUUGUUUGGGAAUGCAGCUCAAAAUGGGUGGUAAAUUUCAUCUAAAGCUAAAUAUUGGCCAGAGACCGAUAGCGCACAAGUAGAGUGAUCGAAAGAUGAAAAGCACUUUGGAAAGAGAGUUAAACAGUACGUGAAAUUGUUGAAAGGGAAGCGCUUGCAAUCAGACUUGCGCGCCGCUGAUCAUCCCGGGUUCUCCCAGGUGCACUCGGCGGCGCUCAGGCCAGCAUCGGUUCGGGUGGUGGGAUAAAGGCCUUGGGAAUGUAGCUCCUCUCGGGGAGUGUUAUAGCCCUCGGUGCCAUGCCGCCUACCUGGACCGAGGACCGCGCUUCGGCUAGGAUGCUGGCGUAAUGGUUGUAAGCGACCCGUCUUGAAACACGGACCAAGGAGUCUAACAUCUAUGCGAGUGUUUGGGUGCUAAACCCAUACGCGUAAUGAAAGUGAACGUUGGUAAGAACCCUUUAGGGUGCAUUAUCGACCGAUCCUGAUGUCUUCGGACGGAUUUGAGUAUGAGCAUAGCUGUUGGGACCCGAAAGAUGGUGAACUAUGCCUGAAUAGGGUGAAGCCAGAGGAAACUCUGGUGGAGGCUCGCAGCGGUUCUGACGUGCAAAUCGAUCGUCAAAUUUGGGUAUAGGGGCGAAAGACUAAUCGAACCAUCUAGUAGCUGGUUCCUGCCGAAG